UAUUAAAGUUGUUGCGGUUAAAAAGCUCGUAGUUGAAUAUGUGUCUCGCGCUGUUGGUUCACCGUCCGCGGUGUCAAACCGACACGCCCGCAUGAUGUCCUGCCGGUGGGACCGCGGCCGGCGCCGCUCUGGCGCGCGCUGUCCGCGUCCCGUCUUGAAAUUUCGCCGCGGUACUCUUCACUGAGUGUUGAGGUAGGCCGGCACCGUUUACUUUGAACAAAUUAGUGUGCUCAAAGCAGGUUAAAACUUCGCCUGAAUACUGUGUGCAUGGAAUAAUGGAACAGGACCUCGGUUCUAUUUUGUUGGUUUUCGGAACAUCGAGGUAAUGAUUAAUAGGGCCAGAUGGGGACAUUCGUAUUGCGACGUUAGAGGUGAAAUUCUUGGACGUCGCAAGACGGACAGAAGCGAAAGCAUUUGCCAAAAAUGUUUUCAUUAAUCAAGAACGAAAGUCAGAGGCUCGAAGGCGAUCAGAUACCGCCCUAGUUCUGACCAUAAACGAUGCCAGCUAGCGAUCCGCCGACGUUCCUCCGAUGACUCGGCGGGCAGCUUCCGGGAAACCAAAGCUUUUGGGUUCCGGGGGAAGUAUGGUUGCAAAGCUGAAACUUAAAGGAAUUGACGGAAGGGCACCACCAGGAGUGGAGCCUGCGGCUUAAUUUGACUCAACACGGGAAACCUCACCAGGCCCGGACACCGGAAGGAUUGACAGAUUGAGAGCUCUUUCUUGAUUCGGUGGGUGGUGGUGCAUGGCCGUUCUUAGUUGGUGGAGCGAUUUGUCUGGUUAAUUCCGAUAACGAACGAGAC
rnacentral:rRNA from 1 species